AUAGCUCCUGCCCCUAUUGAGAGAGUCCCGUCGAAAACUAUAUAUCAAAGGUGUUGUCAAAUAUUGUACCUGGGGUGGAAGUGGUUUUCCGUUGAGAGGGUUCAUCUACCUAGCUACACCCUACAUCUGUGAGCUUCAUAGAGUUGUUUCUAACACUAUUUGAUGUUUUUUUUGUGCUUUUCUUGCAGAUAAGACUUAAUUAUCCAGAUGAGUUUCUAACUUCUCUGCAUGGAUACUAUGGUAGCUUGUACGAAAGGGAGGCAGUUUUUGUGCGAUCGCUUACAUUUGAAAGCAACAAAAGAACAUAUGGACCAUAUGGUGUCCAGCAAGGAACAUAUUUCACGUUGCCAAUUUCUAAGGGAAAAAUUGUUGGCUUCCAUGGAAAAUCUGGCUGGUAUCUUGCUGCUAUCGGAGUAUAUAUUGAGCCUAUUCAAAAAUCUUUACUGACUACUUCUCAUGCUAUCGUUCAUUCCAAACAAAGCAUUGUCCAUGGGAUGGAGAAUUAUGAAUACUCCAUGAUACAAGGAAGUCCUCGUAAAAACUUUGAUCUCAUCGUUGCAGUUAGACGCAAGGAGGAGAACAACAGCCUUUUACCUCCAACCACAUUUUCGAGACAAACUUCUAGUUCUGAAUCUUCUGAUAGGGAUUCCAUCUCUACCGAACCAAAUAAAAAGGUAGGAAACAUCUCAUACUUUCGUUUUUCCAAAUACUGCGUAUUCUGAAAUACGCUAUAUAUAUGUUACAGGUUGCAACUAUAGCUCCUGCCCCUAUUGAGAGAGUCCCGUCGAAAACUAUAUAUCAAAGGUGUUGUCAAAUAUUGUACCUGGGGUGGAAGUGGAGGGACCGUCUUUGAUGAUGGUGUUUAUGAUGGCGUUAGGCAAGUUUACUUGUCACACAACGUAGGAAUAGUUUCGAUAAGAGCUUGCUAUGACAAAAAUGGACAGGCAAUAUGGGGAAGUAAGAACGG
rnacentral:lncRNA from 1 species